rnacentral:misc_RNA from 1 species
GGAUGGAUCAUUCCCAGCAUCAAAAACAUAAAGCUUCAGCAGAAACAUGUCUGUUAUGUGUAAAAAUUAAACUCAAAUCUCUGACGGUGGACGACUCGACUUCCAUAUCGACGAAGGACGCAGCAAUUUGCGAUAAGCUUACUGAUCUGCGAACUCUCGAGAAAGAUUUGAUUUCUGAACGCUGUUGUACCUUGAACCUCGGUUCAAGGUGCGUUCGGCUCGGCAUCAUUUAAAACUCAUUCAAUGAGUUGAGAAUCCUGGUCACAGGACAAGUUUGUACUUCACUGAUCAAUUACACUGCUAAUCUAGGUCAGAAAGCUUAUUUGUGAUCCGAGCUCGAACGAGAAAACCCGCUGAAUUUAAGCAUAUAAUUAAGCGGAGGAAAAGAAACCAACUGGGAUCUCCGCAGUAGUGGCGAACGAAGCGGAGAAAGCCCGAGGCGUCAAUUCUGGCUUUUGGUCAGAAGAUGUGCGUCAUCCCAAGUCCUGUUAGCUGGAUUGUGAAGUGUUUGGAAAAGCACACCACUGAGGGUGAUAGUCCCGUCUACUUUCUAAUGCUAAUGGAUCAGACUUGGGUGUUUUGAGUCACGCUCUUUGGGAGUAGAGCGCAAAAGCGGAGGUAAUCUCCUCUGAUGGCUAAAUAAUGAUGGAAGAUCGACAGCAGACAAGUACCGUGAGGGAAAGUUGAAAAGCACUUCGAAAGGAGACUUAAAAUACCCGAAACCGUCAGGGCGGAAGCGACGCUUCGUGUCAGUUUUGUUGUGGCUUGCUGCAGCAAUUCGACAGCAACCCUUUGCUAAGACAGAAUUCUCUGGCUUAAUGGAGGCUUGUUGGAUUAGCAUGAAGCGGCG